rnacentral:piRNA from 1 species
UCAGACUUGGAAUUGAAGGCGACCUGAUC